ACGGCUACAUCAGUUCCCAUACGAUCACCGAAGUUAAGCAACGUCCAGCUUGGUUAGCACCUUGAUGGGUGACCGCUUGCGAAUGUCGGGUGCUGCUG